rfam:Callithrix jacchus chromosome 9, whole genome shotgun sequence
UGAUAUGAAGGCGAUCUGGCUGUGACAUCUGUCACCCCAUCGACAGUCAGGGUUGCUUCAGCUGAUCUGGUUGCUUAAGCUCAUGUCUCCUUCUUCCCUCACUGCUCCUUGUGCGUCCCUCCCAAAGCCGUGCACUGGGUCAAAGAAGAUGACCUUUUCCCGAUAGAGGAGGACUAUUCUUCAGUCAAAGGUAUAUAAGUAGCUAUGCUCCCCUGCUAGAACCUCCAAACAAGCUCUCAAAUUACCCCAAAACUUAUGGGCAUACAACAAACACUUAUCAGCUCACAUUUUCUGAGGGUCAGGAAAGUGGGUGUGGCU